UCCAGACUCCUACGGGAGGCAGCAGUAGGGAAUCUUUCACAAUGGGCGAAAGCCUGAUGGAGCAACGCCGCGUGAAGGAAGAAGGCUUUCGGGUUGUAAACUUCUUUUCUCAGGGACGAAGAAAGUGACGGUACCUGAGGAAUAAGCCACGGCUAACUACGUGCCAGCAGCCGCGGUAAUACGUAGGUGGCAAGCGUUAUCCGGAUUUACUGGGUGUAAAGGGCGUGUAGGCGGGAAAGCAAGUCAGAUGUGAAAACCAUGGGCUCAACCUGUGGCCUGCAUUUGAAACUGUUUUUCUUGAGUACUGGAGAGGCAGACGGAAUUCCUAGUGUAGCGGUGAAAUGCGUAGAUAUACGGAGGAACACCAGUGGCGAAGGCGGAUUGCUGGACAGUAACUGACGCUGAGGCGCGAAAGCGUGGGGAGCAAACAGGAUUAGAUACCCCUGUAA
rnacentral:rRNA from 1 species